AAUGAACGUUGGCGGCGUGGAUUAGGCAUGCAAGUCGUGCGAGAAGUCUUUUGCUUGCAUUAGACGGAAAGCGGCGAAAGGGAGAGUAACGCGUGGGUACCUACCUCUAGGUUCGGGAUAGCUGCGGGAGACUGUGGGCAAUACCGAAUAACAUCUCCGGAUCAAAGGUGUGAUUCCGCCUGGAGACGGGCCCGCGUCCUAUUAGCUUGUUGGUGGGGUAAUGGCUUACCAAGGCAAUGAUGGGUAUCGGGCGUGAGAGCGUGACCCGACUCACUGGGAUUGAGACACUGCCCAGACACCUACGGGUGGCUGCAGUCGAGAAUCUUCGGCAAUGGGCGCAAGCCUGACCGAGCGACGCCGCGUGCGGGAUGAAGGCCCUCGGGUUGUAAACCGCUGUCAGUUGGGAGGAAAUCACAUGGGGUUCUCUCCAUGUGUUGACCUAUCUUCAGAGGAAGGACGGGCUAAGUUCGUGCCAGCCGCCGCUGUAACAC
rnacentral:rRNA from 1 species